CGGAGGAUCGCAGUGUGCGCGGGGCUGCGGCGGCUGGUGGGGGGUGGAGUCCAGUUGCGAGGCCCGGUGCUGCCGACCCGGUGGGCGGCCCACCGGACCGGCGACCCGGCGGCAGGCGCGCCCCCGCUCUGCGCUGUCUCUCCUAUGGCGUCCGCCUCCGGGGCCAUGGCCAAGCGCGGGCAGAUCCUGGUCCCCGACCCACCCGCAGACCUCAAAUUCAAAGGCCCCUUCGCAGAUGUGGUCGCUACAAAUGUUACACUGCGAAAUCCAUCGGAUAGAAAAGUGUGUUUCAAAGUGAAGACUACAGCACCUCGUCGGUCCUGUGUGAGGCCCAGCCGUGGAAUGAGGGACCCCGGGUCGACUGUGACCGUUUCAGGAAUACUUUGUGAUCCAGAUGAAAAGAGUGCGCACAAGUUUAUGGUACAAUUUUUGCCCCACCAAACACUUCAGACAUGGAAGCUGUGUGAAAAGAGGCAAAGCCUGGUGAAUUAAUGGGUUCCAAAUUGAGAUGUGUAUUUGAAAUGCCCGAUGAAAAUGAUAAUUGAAUGAAGGCCUGAGGCUCAGAAAGGUAGCACAUGCGGAUAAGCCUGGAUCAACCUCAGUUGCAUCCUUCAGAGAUAAUGUCACCAGUCCUCUUCCUUCACUUCUUGUUGUAAUUGCAGCCAUUUUCAUUGGAUGCUUUCUAGGGAAGUUCAUCCUGUAGAGUGAAGCAUGUAGAGUGCUAUUUCUUUUUUUUUUUUUUUUUAUUUCCUUGACCAGAAAAAGAUUUGUUUACCUACCAUUUCAUUGGUAGUACGGCCCGCGGUGACCAUUUUUGUGUGUGUGUACAGAGUCAUAGGCUUUGCCUU